GGUAUAUCUGGCAAGUGACGAGAAUUGUGAGCAUGUCUCCAAUCUGACAAGUCGGAGUUGCAAUCUGUGCCUUCUGGUGGACCCCGAAUUUCGACUCCAUUCACACAUCUCUUGCAUUUGAAUCUGCAAAAGUAAAAAAUGAAGAUAUUAACAGGAGUUGAACGAAAUAUGAUCAAGGCAGCUGUUGGAGAAUAUGCAUUACUUGGAAUGAGUGUCGGAGAUAGUGUUUUCUUCUAAAGUGAACAAAUCCCGCAAAUCGCUCAAUGUGAAAUGUCUGGCAACGUCAUCUUCCUGAUCGACAACUGUAGAACUCAAUGCCUUUUUAUGGGCUUGCCUCUGGAAGAUUUUUUCCUCUAUGGUACCAGUCUGGAAAUUUGAAAAUUAGUUUCUUCUGGCCAUCCCUCCAAACUCGUGCCAUAGCCUGAUCGUCGUUGGCGGGAUUCCAAUCAGGAUCAAACAUAACCAGUCGAUUCGCACCGAUCAAAUUGAGACCACAUCCACCAGCUUUUGAACUCAGCAUAAAGAUAAAGUCCCCGCUGUUUGGAUCAUUAAAACUAUCUACCACUUUUGAUCGCUUCUUUAUAGUCAUUGUUCCAUCCAGUCUAACAUAACGCUUGUCAUGUUCAGACAGUUCGGGAGGUGUAUAAACUACUAAAGCAUUAGCUUCAUCAGGGUCAUGAAGUGCACAUCGUGGUCCUGCCAUAUGCAUACCCAAACUUCGGCCCGAAAGUCUAUAUCCAGUUCUUUUUCUCUUGCUCUCUCUCUGAGGUAAAGCAGGACCACCCAAUUGAAUGGGAGAAAUUUCCCCGGGUCGUUUGCCCCGUUGGCUGGGGGCUGCUGAUCGCAUCUGGAAUAGACCGCAAUAUGAUUGAUAAUGGAUCUUAUUCAACCAAGAAAAAAAAGAUUACUGUCAUCUGUAAAUAAGUGAAACAGUAUUUUCAUUGAAUGAUUAACAUCACAGAGAGUGACGCAAACAAAGAACCCAGGUUAGAUUUCCUGAUGCUUAUUUCAUCAAACGCCAAAAUUAUGAGCAAUUUCAAUUGUCGGAUCUAAAUUAUCGUAUGGUUUACCAUUUUGAUGAAUUCUUGUGUAUGAUUAGUACAUUGUAUGAUUCUUGUGAACAGUGUCAACAAGUAUAAACAAUCGCAAACUUGACAGCAAAUGUAGUUAUAUUGAAAUUUUAUGAAUUGGCGGGACGGCAAGUCACACGUGCACGCGUUUUCGUCCAAUCACGAAACUAACGGCGCGCACGUCAUCCAAUAAAGAUUGAAAUUUCAAUCACCAGAA